GCCAGCUGCAGCUCCUUGAUCCGAGCCGGAUCCUGAGCUGGGGACACCGGCUGAAGCCGCGGCGGCGGCGGCGGCGGCGGCCACGCCACGGGGCUCCGUUGUUGAGGCUGCCCCGGCUCUGUCGGCUGCUCAGCUGCGCUCCAGUCGGCCCAGGCGCCGGGGCGAGGAGCGAACGCUGCGAGGCGGCGGCCUGAGGUGGCACAGAAUGUGGUCCUGUACACAGGCGACUCCAACCUGGUGUGGAGCCGUUUGAGGCAGCUGGAGACAUCUUCUUCAAUGGGGCCUGGGAGCGGGAGAAAUCCGUGUCCUUCUACCAGGGGACAGGCUGAAAGAGCGCGUGGCCUACUACCGGCUGGCCGCCCUGCACCACCGACUGGCCCAUGGCAAGCUGGCGGAGCACUUCUACCUCAAGGUCCUGUAGCUCUGCAACUCGCCGCUGGAGUUCGACGAAGAGACCCUCUACUACCUGAAGGUGUACCUGGUGCUUGGUGACAUCAUCGUCUACGACCUGAAGGCCUGGAGCUGCCCGGGAGGCCCCCACCCAGUGCUGGCGACACCUGGUGGUCAGAAGCAGUCCCUGUGGCCUCCCAAGUCCCAGCCAGACAGGGAGCUGCCAGGUGUCAGGCCCAGAGGGACGCUGCUCACCGCUCAGGGGCUCGCCUGGGACCAAGGGACGGGCCUCCCAGAAGUGGCCCUUUAUCUCUCUUGGUCAAGCCUGCCGCCCACUCCGCCUGCCCAGGAGGAAGGAAAUGGCCAAGUAGUAUCUGAGAGGCCAAAGUCCAUGGUUGGGGUCGAGGGGCAGAGGCCUCCUUCACCUCCUUCUCGAGCACAGCCCUCUGGGCCUCCUCGUGACGGUGCUGUCAGCCCAGGCCAGCUUCCCACAGGGAGGCCCCCUCGGAAUUCCCCAAGGGCGGCUGUCUUUCCAAGGCCACACCCUCCUCCUUGUAUAGGAGGCUCUGGACCCGGGGCCCAGAGGAGUGGGAGAGAAAGCUGGGCUGGAUGGGGCCUGGAAGGCUGGCAGAGGCAGGGUAAAUGGGCAUCCUUGCCGAUUGCCUCUAAAAUGAGGUCCCCUUUAGUCUACACGUGAGAGUGAGCCCUGGAAUAGGGUGGAUUAGGUGUGUCCUGGCUCAGCCUGCCACUCACUAGCUGCUGCACACACUACAGGCACAUGGAAAUGCACACGCAAAUGCACACAGACACAGGCACACGCACAUACAGGCGCGCACACACAGGCACACGCGCACA